rnacentral:rRNA from 1 species
GACGAACGCUGGCGGCGUGCCUAGUACAUGCAAGUAGAACGCACAGUUUAUACCGUAGCUUGCUACACCAUAGACUGUGAGUUGCGAACGGGUGAGUAACGCGUAGGUAACCUGCCUGGUAGCGGGGGAUAACUAUUGGAAACGAUAGCUAAUACCGCAUAAUAUUAAUUAUUGCAUGAUAAUUAAUUGAAAGGUGCAAUUGCACCACUACCAGAUGGACCUGCGUUGUAUUAGCUAGUAGGUGAGGUAACGGCUCACCUAGGCGACGAUACAUAGCCGACCUGAGAGGGUGAUCGGCCACACUGGGACUGAGACACGGCCCAGACUCCUACGGGAGGCAGCAGUAGGGAAUCUUCGGCAAUGGACGAAAGUCUGACCGAGCAACGCCGCGGGAGUGAAGAAGGUUUUCGGAUCGUAAAGCUCUGUUGUAAGAGAAGAACGGGUGUGAGAGUGGAAAGUUCACACUGUGACGGUAUCUUACCAGAAAGAGACGGCUAACUACGUG